GAUGAAGAACGUAGCGAAAUGCGAUAAGUAAUGUGAAUUGCAGAAUUCAGUGAAUCAUCGAAUCUUUGAACGCACAUUGCGCCCCCUGGUAUUCCGGGGGGCAUGCCUGUUCGAGCGUCAUUUCACCACUCAAGCCUCGCUUGGUAUUGGGCAACGCGGUCCGCCGCGUGCCUCAAAUCGACCGGCUGGGUCUUCUGUCCCCUAAGCGUUGUGGAAACUAUUCGCUAAAGGGUGUUCGGGAGGCUACGCCGUAAAACAACCCCAUUUCUAAGGUUGACCUCGGAUCAGGUAGGGAUACCCGCUGAACUUAAGAAUAUCAAUAAGCGGAGGA
rnacentral:misc_RNA from 1 species